UAGGGAAUCUUCCACAAUGGACGCAAGUCUGAUGGAGCAACGCCGCGUGAGUGAAGAAGGUCUUCGGAUCGUAAAGCUCUGUUGUUGGUGAAGAAGGAUAGAGGCAGUAACUGGUCUUUAUUUGACGGUAAUCAACCAGAAAGUCACGGCUAACUACGUGCCAGCAGCCGCGGUAAUACGUAGGUGGCAAGCGUUGUCCGGAUUUAUUGGGCGUAAAGCGAGCGCAGGCGGAAUGAUAAGUCUGAUGUGAAAGCCCACGGCUCAACCGUGGAACUGCAUCGGAAACNGUCAUUCUUGAGUGCAGAAGAGGAGAGUGGAACUCCAUGUGUAGCGGUGGAAUGCGUAGAUAUAUGGAAGAACACCAGUGGCGAAGGCGGCUCUCUGGUCUGCAACUGACGCUGAGGCUCGAAAGCAUGGGUAGCGAACAGGAUUAGAUACCCU
rnacentral:rRNA from 1 species